rnacentral:lncRNA from 1 species
UCCCAUUUUCGUGAUCUCCUCCUCAUGAUGAUCAUCCCCAUGUACUUGACGGUUUGAGUUGACGAGCGUUUGGAAUAUCGUUAUAAUUGACUUGUUAGAAGACGCAGCGGGAUUAGAGUGGGUAAUCUCACAGGUCAGGAGAAUCAGGCAGUGAUCGUGCAGUUUAGAGUACUAGUAUUAGAUUUACAGCAAUUGUUUUGUGAGGAGAAUUAUACUCAUUUGAGUUUUACAAUUUGAUUUGGUGAGAGUGUGCUGUAAUAAGUAGCUCGAGGAUUUGGUUUAUGUAAUAUUAAGAGGUGUAAACUAGUGGUUGUUUCUGAGAGAAAAAUUCAGAACGUUAUUUGUAUUGUUAUUAGUCAUGUUCCGGAUUUGAAUCCUUAUUUCAAAAUUCGGGGUGUGACAAAUCACCCUUACACGUGGUCUGACGGUUUUGGAUCGCGGUGUCCGAACGGGUGAAAACAGUUCAUCUUAAUGUUGGUGGCUGGGUUGUAUCGGUACUGGUUUGGUUGUUACUCAUUGUAGCUCGCGGGUAUGAGCGUAAAAUUUGGUUAGGGGUUGAGCCUUUUUGGCUCAUGGAAGUCACUCAUGUUGAUGGUCCCAUAACUACGGAU